CAGAGGGGGCAAGCGUUAUUCGGAAUUAUUGGGCGUAAAGGGCGCGUAGGCGGCUUUGCAAGUGACGGGUGAAAUCCCUCGGCUUAACCGAGGAACUGCCUGUCAGACUGCAUUGCUUGAGUCCGGGAGAGGUGAGUGGAAUUCCCAGUGUAACGGUGAAAUGCGUAGAUAUUGGGAGGAACACCAGUGGCGAAGGCGGCUCACUGGACCGGAACUGACGCUGAGGCGCGAAAGCGUGGGGAGCAAACAGGAUUAGAUACCCUGGUAGUCCACGCCGUAAACGAUGAGUGCUUGGUGUAGCGGGUAUCGACCCCUGCUGUGCCGAAGUCAACACAUUAAGCACUCCGCCUGGGGAGUACGGUCGCAAGACUG
rnacentral:rRNA from 1 species